rnacentral:lncRNA from 1 species
CCACUGGAAGAAAAAUUACAAGGAGUACCUUGCAACCAUGAAAUCAGCAAAUAUUGCUAAAGGUUUGUAUAUGAUACAAACUAAUUUAUCAUUAAGUACUUCAAUAUCAGAUUCCUGGGUAUUGGAUACCGUCUGGGGUUCACACCUUUGUAAAUUGUUGCAUGGUCUAUAGGGAAUAAGAAAUCUGAAUAAAGGUGAUUUCGAGCUGUUCGACGCAAGUGAAGAGUCUAUUCAAGCCAAAGCCAUAGGAACUAGGGUUUUGAAGUUGCCUUCAAGAAAAGUUUUGGA